rnacentral:rRNA from 1 species
UCCUACGGGAGGCAGCAGUCAGGAAUAUUGCGCAAUGGGCGAAAGCCUGACGCAGCGACGCCGCGUGGGUGAUGAAGGCCUUCGGGUCGUAAAGCCCUGUCGGGGGGACGAAACUUCCCGGUGCUAAUAUCACCGGGACCUGACGGUACCCCCUAAGGAAGCACCGGCUAACUCCGUGCCAGCAGCCGCGGUA